CUUACGUAUGUGGACUUGUUUUUGCUCAAUCUCAAUGUUCAUCUUAACAAAACAAAUUAAUUUAGUUAUGUACUUAUCCCUCUUUCUUGAGAGAUAAAUUUGAUAAACAUGAGAGGAUAAAUUUCAUGAAGGAUGAAUAUUUUCAUGGAAAGCCCUCUCGGCUUCCUGCUAAUUUUUGGGUUGGUGGCCGCAUAUAAAUAAAACAGGCCUAACAGGCUUUAAUAUACCCAUAUUAAAUUAAUCCGUAUUUAUUGAACCUUUCUCAGCGCUGAUGCAUACAAAAUACAACAUGAAGUGGAAAUUCUUGCACGCCAUUGCAAUUUUUUCCCUGAUUGCCUCCAGCCAAGCUUGCAAUGUUGGGGUGAGAAAUUUCGUGAACCAGAAAACUAACCAAUGUCUUGAAACUGACGGCGACGGUGCCGUUUAUCCGCGUCCAUGUUCCUGUAUGCCCAGCCAACGGUGGAAUUGGACGGGAACCUGGAUCGUCAACCUGGGUACGAACAAAUGCCUCGGAUCUUACGGGACGCAGGUUUACACGGAGACUUGCUACGAUAUUAGGAGUCAAAUGUGGUCAGUUGGAUUAACUGGAGACCUAAAAACAAGAAAUCUGGACACUAAUUAUUGUCUGUACAACGCCUUAAAUGGACCCAUAGGGAUGCAACCAUGUUCUGAUCAAGAUUAUCAAAAAUGGCUUGGGUAAAAUUUAGGCGGUAGUUUUUAAAGUAUUUAAAACACUAUUCGUGUAAUUACACAUACAUAGUUAGUUUAUUACGAGUUGUAACAUUGUCCAUAGAAUAAACAUGAGUUAAAUGAAUUAUGAAGAUGAAAAUC